rnacentral:rRNA from 1 species
UUGCUGUUUCGCUGACGAGUGGCGGACGGGUGAGUAAUGUCUGGGAAACUGCCUGAUGGAGGGGGAUAACUACUGGAAACGGUAGCUAAUACCGCAUAAUGUCGCAAGACCAAAGAGGGGGACCUUCGGGCCUCUUGCCAUCGGAUGUGCCCAGAUGGGAUUAGCUAGUAGGUGGGGUAACGGCUCACCUAGGCGACGAUCCCUAGCUGGUCUGAGAGGAUGACCAGCCACACUGGAACUGAGACACGGUCCAGACUCCUACGGGAGGCAGCAGUGGGGAAUAUUGCAC